rnacentral:rRNA from 1 species
GACGAACGCUGGCGGCGUGCUUAACACAUGCCAGUCGAACGGAAAGGCCCUGCUUUUGUGGGGUGCUCGAGUGGCGAACGGGUGAGUAACACGUGAGUAACCUGCCCUUGACUUUGGGAUAACUUCAGGAAACUGGGGCUAAUACCGGAUAGGAGCUCCUGCUGCAUGGUGGGGGUUGGAAAGUUUCGGCGGUUGGGGAUGGACUCGCGGCUUAUCAGCUUGUUGGUGGGGUAGUGGCUUACCAAGGCUUUGACGGGUAGCCGGCCUGAGAGGGUGACCGGCCACAUUGGGACGGAGAUACGGCCCAGACUCCUACGGGAGGCAGCAGUGGGGAAUAGUGCACAAUGGGCGGAAGCCUGAUGCAGCAACGCCGCGUGCGGGAUGACGGCCUUCGGGUUGGAAACCGCUUUCGCCUGUGACGAAGCGUGAGUGACGGUAAUGGGUAAAGAAGCACCGGCUAACUACGUG